UACGUAGGGUCCGAGCGUUGUCCGGAAUUAUUGGGCGUAAAGAGCUUGUAGGCGGUUUGUCGCGUCUGCUGUGAAAAUCCGGGGCUCAACCCCGGACUUGCAGUGGGUACGGGCAGACUAGAGUGUGGUAGGGGGAGACUGGAUUCCUGGUGUAGCGGUGAAAUGCGCAGAUAUCAGGAGGAAACACCGAUGGCGAAGGCAGGUCUCUGGGC
rnacentral:rRNA from 1 species